rnacentral:rRNA from 1 species
GACGAACGCUGGCGGCGUGCCUAAUACAUGCAAGUAGAACGCUGAAGGAGGAGCUUGCUUCUCUGGAUGAGUUGCGAACGGGUGAGUAACGCGUAGGUAACCUGCCUGGUAGCGGGGGAUAACUAUUGGAAACGAUAGCUAAUACCGCAUAAUAGCAGUUGUUGCAUGACAACUGUUUGAAAGGUGCAAUUGCACCACUACCAGAUGGACCUGCGUUGUAUUAGCUAGUUGGUGGGGUAACGGCUCACCAAGGCGACGAUACAUAGCCGACCUGAGAGGGUGAGCGGCCACACUGGGACUGAGACACGGCCCAGACUCCUACGGGAGGCAGCAGUAGGGAAUCUUCGGCAAUGGACGGAAGUCUGACCGAGCAACGCCGCGGGAGGGAAGAAGGUUUUCGGAUCGUAAAGCUCUGUUGUAAGAGAAGAACGAGUGUGAGAGUGGAAAGUUCACACUGUGACGGUAUCUUACCAGAAAGGGACGGCUAACUACGUG